rnacentral:rRNA from 1 species
AUUGAACGCUGGCGGCAGGCUUAACACAUGCAAGUCGAGCGGAGAUGAGGUGCUCGCACCUUAUCUUAGCGGCGGACGGGUGAGUAAUGCUUAGGAAUCUGCCUAUUAGUGGGGGACAACAUUCCGAAAGGAAUGCUAAUACCGCAUACGCCCUACGGGGGAAAGCAGGGGAUCUUCGGACCUUGCGCUAAUAGAUGAGCCUAAGUCGGAUUAGCUAGUUGGUGGGGUAAAGGCCUACCAAGGCGACGAUCUGUAGCGGGUCUGAGAGGAUGCUCCGCCACACUGGGACUGAGCCACGGCCCAGACUCCGACUGGAGGCAGCAGUGGGGAAUAUUGGACAAUGGGCGGAAGCCUGAUCCAGCCAUGCCGCGUGUGUGAAGAAGGCCUUUUGGUUGUAAAGCACUUUAAGCGAGGAGGAGGCUACCUGGAUUAAUACUCUAGGAUAGUGGACGUUACUCGCAGAAUAAGCACCGGCUAACUCUGUGCCAGCAGCCGCGGUAACAC